UCACUUAAUUUGUCUCUCCUAUCAGGGGCAAUGACUUAAGCUACCGUGGCUUCAGGGAACCAAGCCUUCUCUGCUGUCAGCUGGGCAGCCAGACCUGUAUUCUGGGUUUGGUGACCGUCGAAAAUCUAUCUUCUCUGCCACCUACCACCUCGGGUGCAUGACUUCACCCACUAGAGCCUCAGUUUCCCUUUCUGCAAGCUCUAAAAGCCAGCCUGCAGAGUUGUUAUGAAAAACACGCCCAGAGGUGGAUCGGGGCUGGGAAUAGGGCAGUAGACAAAAAGCCUGAAAGGCACUCACACAAAGCUUCCCACCACUUGGCAGGACCCAAGACUGGACAGGCAGAAAACCACCCCUGCCAUCGCCCAAAGGCAUCCUUUGAAAGGACUGGGCUCAAGAGAUCCUCCCAUCUCAGACCCCUGAGGAACAGGGACUACAGGUGCAUGUCACUGCACCUGGCUGUGAAUAUGAAAUACGUUUUCAAAUUUAUAUAUUGUUCAUACUCUUUAUGCUUUAUUAAAAAUAUUCCUGCCUUCAAUUGGUGAGGGACACAAAUAUUUAGACCCUAGCACCUGUCCUUCAGCAUCAAUAGCAAUAAUGCUAGGAAUUUAUAUGGAGCUUUAUCAUUUAUGAAAUGCUUCACAUAUAUUACCAAUAGUCAAAGUCAUAUGGAAUUCUUAAGGUAGAUAUUAGUAUCUCCAUUAACAGAUGAGUAGCCUGAGUAUGUGGUUAUGUCAUGGCUAUAGAUAAAGAAGCUGAAGAUAAGAGGACAUGCCCAAGGAAGUUAAAUUACUUGCACAAGGUCACACAGAAGUGG
rnacentral:lncRNA from 1 species